rnacentral:tRNA from 1 species
GGUAAAUAUAACUCAAUAGGUAGAGUGACUAUUUGUGGCAUAGUUUGUUCUUGGUUCGAGUCCAGGUUUUUACC